rnacentral:lncRNA from 1 species
UCUAAUUGCAGUCGAGGGGAUAUGUGAUAACUUGAAACUGAGCACAGAACGUUCUUUCUUGGUUUGCAUUUGGUGUAACCCCCCUUGAUUGUUCUUUUUCCUCUGUCUUAUAAUCCUCUGAUUGUCAAUCCAGUCAUAUAUUGAUGAUGUAUUGAUCAUUGGUUAUCAGAAGUUUUCUACACAUUGCUGCUGGGUAGAGCAUCUAUUGCAACUACAAUUGGCGAUAUCUACACAGAUCUAUACAUAAAAGAUAAGUAGGAAGUAAGCUUCUAUAGUGUGACGUAGAGGUAUUGGCCAUACACCAUGAAUGAUAGAGGCUGUGCAGCUGAUAUUCAUAGUUUAAUUACUUUUUCCUCCAAAGAGAUACAUAUUUUUAGCUAUAAUGUGUUAGCUUGCUGACAGUACAUCGAUAUAUUCUCCAAUCUGGUUCAACUAUGCCUAUACUCUUUAGUUUUAUGUUGAUGUUUACACUCUUUCUUCUGGUCUGGAGUCUUGUAUUUUUUUUCUGAGGUGUGUACUUCACUUUUAUGUUGUAUACACAAGUAUUUUCAGAUAAAUAAAAGCAAGAACAUUAGAGAGCAUGCAGGGCCCUGAAUUUGGAGAAUCUAGGCGUAUAUCUGUACAAUAUUAUUGAGGUAAUUUUGAAUUUCUGAAGCUUGGUCUGGGCUUAUGGUGCUUAGUUUUUCAGUGGGUUUUGCCGAGCAACUGAAAUUUCCAACUACUUCUAUUAGCAUUAUUGCACCUGAUCAUGGCUGAUUCUGCACUAUUCCCCUUCCUUGAUCUAUUCGUGACACAUCUAAAUUCAUUUGUGGAUCCUUACUCUGUAGUACGGGGACCCUGAGGUCCUUGGAGCCACACACGUUGCCACAUGUUAAUUAUCUUAUCGAUUGGCGUUAGUAGGAGGUAUCGAAUAUAGAUGGACUAUCUUCGUUAUUGAAUUGGCGUUAGUAAGAGGUAUUGAAUGUAGAUGGGCUAUCUUGGUUUUUGAAUGCUAGGUUGUCGGGCACUCGGGAUGAUGAUGUAUGGCCAGGGGUAGGCAAGCUCCCAAACUUGCACGAGUACCCUGACUUUUUUUUUGAGAGUACCCUCACUGGAACUUCUCAAAACUGUCUACUGUAUUAGUCUUGACGCCAAUGGUCUUGAUCUGCUUGAGUUUAUAGUAAUCAAACAUGUGUAUCCGACUAUUCGUGCUACUUGAUCCUUGCAGAAAAACAGAGAAGAAGAGGGGCUCUUGUAAGAAUCUUGUACUAACUUAUGGCUGUGAUCCUUGAGAAAAUGCGGCAGUAAGGACAAGCCAACAAAGAGGAUCUCUGCAAUGAAAGGUCAUGGAGCACCCAUAUUUUCAAUGAUGUAGACUAAGGCGCUGUGUUGGAGCUGUCUUCGUGACUAGCAAGAAGUGGAUAUUGCAGUUUGUGUUUGUCCUGAAGCAUAUUUUGUGCUUCCAGGGCAGGCAUUUUUGCCUCUGUUUUUCUAGCUGCCAUUUAGUUUGCGCCAGUAACCUAAUAUUGUGAUGGAUAAUAUCUAUGGAGUUGUGCAUAAUAAUUCUGGAGUGCCACUUCUUUUUUGUAGCUAGCAUGUAGCCCAUUAAAUUCCAGCCUAGUUCGUAGCAGGUUUGAGUAGAUAUGUAACUCACUGUAGAACGGUAUUCACGCUAAGAUGCCUGUUUAGAAUGGAAAAGAUGGCUAUUUUGUUGCAGGUUUGAGCAAACUAAUUGUAGCCUAUUAUCCCCAUUAGGGCUGUAAGCUGUAGGAAGAUGAGGACUUCAAUCUUAAUAAUGGCAAUCUGGUUCAAGAAUAAGACAGUACUUCAAUCUUAAUAAUGGUGGUACAUGGUGGUUUUAUGAGAUGUUCGUGUACAUUCUGGUGAUGGCCUAAUGUUACCUGAACAUCAUUUGUGCAUUUGAAAAGUUCAUCCAUUAAACUUACCAAGGAAAUAACUUGCAGUCCCUCAGCCUACUUUCUAAUUUGAUUUAUGGUAAGUCGAGUUAUCUAUAUUAUUAAACACAAUUUUCCUUUUCACAGGUUGGUUGAUACAUGUAUGCACAUUUUUCAGAGCAACGUGCAGUGGAAGAAGCAGCCUGUGAACUGAAAUAGUUUGCAUUGGAAACAAGUGCUGUGAGUAUGUUAUCAUUUGAUUACACAUAAUCUGUACAACCCCUGAAGUAUUUUCCAUAGUUCUCUUUGGAAUCCUUUUCUUUUUUGAUGAAACACAAGUGCCCCAAAACUGAU